rnacentral:rRNA from 1 species
GACAGAGGCCACAAGCGUUAGGCGGAAUCACUGGGCUUAAAGCGUGUGUAGGCGGGUCGUUAAGUGCUUUGUGAAAUCCCACGGCUCACCCGUGGAACUGCUGGGCAUACUGGCGACCUUGAGCCACCUAGGGGCAACUGGAACAAGCGGUGGAGCGGUGAAAUGCGUAGAUAUCGCUUGGAACGCCGAAGGUGAAAACAGGUUGCUGGGGGUGCGCUGACGCUGAGACACGAAAGCCAGGGGAGCAAACGGG